UGGCGGCGUGGUUAAGACAUGCAAGUCGAACGCGAUUUUUCCGGUUAGCAAUAACUGGAAAAAUUGAGUGGCGAAUGGGUGCGUAACACGUGGGAAUUUAUCCGGAAGUGGGGGAUAGCUUGCCGAAAGGCAAAUUAAUACCGCAUAUGCCCGUAAGGGCAAAGUGGGGGACCGCAAGGCCUCACGCUAUCGGAGGAGCCCGCGCCCUAUCAGCUAGUUGGUGAGGUAAUGGCUCACCAAGGCUUAGACGGGUAGCUGGUCUGAGAGGACGACCAGCCACACUGGAACUGAGACACGGUCCAGACACCUACGGGUGGCAGCAGUCGAGGAUUUUUCUCAAUGGGGGCAACCCUGAAGGAGCGACGCCGCGUGGAGGAUGAAGGGCUUCGGCUCGUAAACUCCUGUCACCGACGAACAAGGCAUCCGGAUUAAUAAAUCGGAUGCUUGAUGGUAGUCGGAGAGGAAGGGGCGGCUAACUCUGUGCCAGCAGCCGCGGUGAUACAGAGGCCCCAAGCGUUGUUCGGAUUUACUGGGCGUAAAGGGUGUGUAGGGGGUCGUGUAAGUUUGACGUGAAAUCCCGUUGCUCAACAACGGAACUGCGUCGAAUACUGCUCGGCUGGAGGUUCGGAGAUGAGGGCGGAAUUCUCGGUGUAGCGGUGAAAUGCGUAGAUAUCGAGAGGAACGCCGAUGGCGAAAGCAGCCCUCAAGACGAAAUCUGACCCUGAAACACGAAGGCCAGGGGAGCAAACGGGAUUAGAUACCCCGGUAGUCCUGGCAGUAAACGGUGCUCAUUAGAUGUANGCGGAUUCGACCCCGCCUGUGUCGAACCUAACGGAUUAAAUGAGCCGCCUGGGAAGUACGGUCGCAAGAUUAAAACUCAAAGAAAUUGACGGGGGCCCGCACNAGCNG
rnacentral:rRNA from 1 species